GAGCAAUCCUGGCGGCGAGUGGCGAACGGGUGAGUAAUACAUCGGAACAUGUCCAGUAGUGGGGGAUAGCCCGGCGAAAGCCGGAUUAAUACCGCAUACGAUCUAUGGAUGAAAGCGGGGGAUCGCAAGACCUCGCGCUAUUGGGGUGGCCGAUGGCGGAUUAGCUAGUUGGUGGGGUAAAGGCCUACCAAGGCGACGAUCCGUAGCUGGUCUGAGAGGACGACCAGCCACACUGGGACUGGGACACGGCCCAGACUCCUACGGGAGGCAGCAGUGGGGAAUUUUGGACAAUGGGGGCAACCCUGAUCCAGCAAUGCCGCGUGUGUGAAGAAGGCCUUCGGGUUGUAAAGCACUUUUGUCCGGGAAGAAAUCCCCUGCCCUAAUACGGCGGGGGGAUGACGGUACCGGAAGAAUAAGCACCGGCUAACUACGUGCCAGCAGCCGCGGUAAUACGUAGGGUGCGAGCGUUAAUCGGAAUUACUGGGCGUAAAGCGUGCGCAGGCGGUUUUGUAAGACAGAUGUGAAAUCCCCGGGCUUAACCUGGGAACUGCGUUUGUGACUGCAAGACUGGAGUGUGGCAGAGGGGGGUGGAAUUCCACGUGUAGCAGUGAAAUGCGUAGAGAUGUGGAGGAACACCGAUGGCGAAGGCAGCCCCCUGGGUCAACACUGACGCUCAUGCACGAAAGCGUGGGGAGCAAACAGGAUUAGAUACCCUGGUAGUCCACGCCCUAAACGAUGCGAACUAGGUGUUGGGGAAGGAGACUUUCUUAGUACCGCAGCUAACGCGUGAAGUUCGCCGCCUGGGGAGUACGGUCGCAAGAUUAAAACUCAAAGGAAUUGACGGGGACCCGCACAAGCGGUGGAUGAUGUGGAUUAAUUCGAUGCAACGCGAAAAACCUUACCUACCCUUGACAUGCCAGGAAGUCUGCUGAGAGGUGGAU
rnacentral:rRNA from 1 species